rnacentral:rRNA from 1 species
UACGUAGGGCGCAAGCGUUAUCCGGAAUUAUUGGGCGUAAAGAGCUCGUAGGCGGUUUGUCGCGUCUGCCGUGAAAGUCCGGGGCUCAACUCCGGAUCUGCGGUGGGUACGGGCAGACUAGAGUGAUGUAGGGGAGACUGGAAUUCCUGGUGUAGCGGUGAAAUGCGCAGAUAUCAGGAGGCACACCGAUGGCGGAGGCAGGUCUCUGGGCAUUAACUGACGCUGAGGAGCGAAAGCAUGGGGAGCGAACAGG